GCUAACUCUGGGCCAGGAGCGGGUGGAAGGAUAGGGGUGCAAGAGUUAAUCGGAUUUACUGGGCGUAAAGCGGGCGUAGGCGGAUAAAUAAGUCAAAUGUGAAAUCCCCGAGCUGAACGUGGGAAUUGCAUUGGAUACUGGUUAGCUAGAGUGUGGGAGAGGAUGGUAGAAUUCCAGGUGUAGCGGUGAAAUGCGUAGAGAUCUGGAGGAAUACCGAUGGCGAAGGCAGCCAUCUGGCCUAACACUGACGCUGAGGUGCGAAAGCAUGGGGAGCAAACAGGAUUAGAUACCCGAGUAGUC
rnacentral:rRNA from 1 species